rnacentral:lncRNA from 1 species
UUCCAUUCAAGUUACAUCACAUGAGCAAGAGUUGACACUAUCACAUUAUAAAGGCAAGACUUACGACUUUCGAACAAUAAGCUACGUUUCAUGGGUAAGCGUUGAUACUACUACAUUGUAGAGGCAAGACUUAUGACUUUCAAACAACAAGUUAUGUUUCAUGGGCAAGAGUCGACACUACCACAUUGUAUUUUAAUUUAUGAGAUAUUUUAUAACUCUUACCUUAGAGGAAAGACUUAGUUCAGGGACUUUCAAACAACAAAUUAUACCCCAUGGGCGAGAG